AUCUAUAGCCAUACCACCCUGAACACGCCUGAUCUUGUCUGAUCUCGGAAGCUAAGCAGGGUUGGGCCACUUGAAUGGGAGAACCAUUGCCCUAACCAUUGGACAGAGACUACAGCCU
rnacentral:rRNA from 1 species